rnacentral:sRNA from 1 species
AGGAUGCCCGGCACAGCGGCGAGGAGACCGCAGGCUGUGGGGAGGGGCUGAGGUUACUGUCACCUGGGCCGGCCUCACUGGGGUCCCUCCUGCAGUCCACGCACCCCCUGGCACCCGGUCCUACUCGGCCUGGCCUUUCUGCCCGAGGCGGCAGGGACAGGCGCAGGGCAGAUGCCCAGAAGUGGAGCCGCAGGGCUUGGCUAGGGAGCCCCCGUGGGGGUCUGGACAGGCACACGGCAACCCGCCGUCUCCUCCACGCCCUCACCCUCCCCUUCCCUUCGUGUGCUGGGAAGAGGACCCAGGCCCAAGAAGCUGGUCUCCAGCCUGGCCACCUCCCAUGGCACACAGACAAGCCCAACACGCAGGCUGCAGGGAGUGCGGGCCCCACAGCUGGCUGAGCCCCCGGCCACGGCUUGGGCUGGCCCAGAGCAGAGCCUCUGCUGUGGCGACCUCAGGAGGGCCGAGUCACGCAACUGAUUCCAGGAUGGGACGGGAGGCGGGGGCACCCUGGGCCCUGUUCCUUCCCCACCUUGUGGGUGGGUGUUCAGACCAAAAGGCAGAACUGUCGGAAGACCCCCUGCCUUUGGCCAGUGGGUGGAGCUGGGCUCUGGACCCUGCUUCCCGUCAGAAGGCAGACCACCCCCUCGCCGGGAGUGGGGGGACGCAUCCAUGGCUUCCCGGCCACCUGCACAGAGCCUGCACUCACUCCUUGUGUGCCCUCUAGGAUGGCGGCUCCCUGGACCAGGUGCUGAAAGAGGCCAAGAGGAUUCCCGAGGAGAUCCUGGGGAAAGUCAGCAUCGCGGUUCUCCGGGGCUUGGCGUACCUCCGAGAGAAGCACCAGAUCAUGCACCGAGAUGUGAAGCCCUCCAACAUCCUCGUGAACUCUAGAGGGGAGAUCAAGCUGUGUGACUUUGGGGUGAGCGGCCAGCUCAUCGACUCCAUGGCCAACUCCUUCGUGGGCACGCGCUCCUACAUGGCUCCGGAGCGGUUGCAGGGCACACAUUACUCGGUGCAGUCGGACAUCUGGAGCAUGGGCCUGUCCCUGGUGGAGCUGGCCAUCGGAAGGUACCCCAUCCCCCCGCCCGACGCCAAGGAGCUGGAGGCCAUCUUUGGCCGGCCCGUGGUCGACGGGGAAGAAGGAGAGCCUCACAGCAUCUCGCCUCGGCCGAGGCCCCCCGGGCGCCCCAUCAGCGGUCACGGGAUGGACAGCCGGCCCGCCAUGGCCAUCUUUGAACUGCUGGACUAUAUUGUGAACGAGCCACCUCCUAAGCUGCCCAACGGGGUGUUCACCCCCGACUUCCAGGAGUUUGUCAAUAAAUGCCUCAUCAAGAACCCAGCGGAGCGGGCGGACCUGAAGAUGCUCACAAACCACACCUUCAUCAAGCGGUCCGAGGUGGAAGAAGUGGAUUUUGCUGGCUGGUUGUGUAAAACCCUGCGGCUGAACCAGCCCGGCACACCCACGCGCACCGCUGUGUGACAGUGGCCACGCUCCCCGCGUCCCACUGGUGACCUGCCCACCGUCCCUGUCCAUGCCCCGCCCUUCCAGCUGAGGACAGGCUGGCGCCUCCACCCACCCUCCUGCCUCACCCCUGCGGAGAGCACUGUGGCGGGGCGACUGCGCACACAGGAACGGGGGUCUCCUCUCCUGCCCGUCCUGGCUGGGGUGCCUCCGGGGACGGGCGACGCUGCUGUGUGUGGUCUCAGAGCCUCUGCUUCCUUAGGUUACAAAACAAAACAGGGAGAGAAAAAGC